UAGAAAAAUUAUUUACAGAAACUGAAAAAACAUAAUUAAAAAAUAUACAUUAUUAACCCAGCUUAUACGCUCAGAAAUUAAAAUUUGGUGGCCCUGAAGUGGCCGUUUUAUCACGAGCAGGUAGGGUUGGUCAUCAAACGUCGUACGCACGUUAGUUAUUUAGAACUCGUAUACUUGGUUACCGCUUUAGUGCCUUCACUGACAGCGUGCUUUACCAAUUCGCCGGGUGACGUAAAUAUCGUGUAACUUAUCUAAUCAGUAAUCACCACGGUUUAAGAAAUGAGUAAAAGAUAGUCAUCCGGACCACGAUAAGAAAAAUAAUGAUAAGGAUAACCGAAAGAAAGUAUAUGUCUAGAGGUAAAGAGCCUG